AGUUAAGUGCUUACAAAAGUCUGAAAAAUUGUUAUGUAAAAAUGCAGCUCGACUCAACUCAUAAUUUAGAACACAAAAAUAAUUAAUUGGUUUGACAAGUUGGUAAAACCUUUCUAAACCGUUGCUGGCGUUUGUUUUUUUCUUUUUUUUUUCUUGUGCUGACAUUGCUCACUUGGCUGCACGUGGCGUAUGCGCAAUAUUCUGUGGUCGAUAGUCGAUGGUCGAUGGUCGGUGGUCGGUGGCCAGUCUGAAAUCUUGAAUUAACAGCAGCCACACCCCAAAAACAAGAAUGUCGCUUUUUGCUCGGAUUUAUUUCAAUUGCAAUUUUUAUUUCGUUGCCCAGCGUUUUUAUGCCACAUUUUAUUGGCCAACAAUGGGAGCUGAAUUUCGGUUGUGUUUUUGCUCAAUUCUAUCUCUUAUCGCAAGGCCGUUCAUAAAAACAUAUAUGCGUAUAUAUUACACCAAUCUGGCCUGAUCUUUUUCGAUCUGUACCAGUUGAUUGCAUUUUAUUGAUUUUAUUAUUUUGUGUUACACAAAUUUCCAGUUAAACGAGGCCCAACAAUGGGCGUUAUGGAGAAAACACUUGACAAGCGAUUUUCUCCCACAAUAGAUCAGUGGCACCGCCCCGAACAUCCGUCCAAAAAAGCGUUUCAUAAUCGCAAGAAUACUUGGGGACCUUGACUAUCAAAUGCGAACUACAUUUCAAUGUCGCCACCCGCCGUCACCCCUCAUCCACGAACACAAUGUUACUUCCAGAUACAUCUGGGGUUAUUAUUCGAGAUAUAUUCUAGAUACGAUCCGAUACGAUCCAAAGCCGUGCUCACGACCUUCCCCGUAGUGCCUGCGUUGUCUAUGCCACACGCCACACAAAUUGACGUAGUAAACUCUUUCCAACUGGCGGUAAAUACCAUUUAUGUACUUAAUAUUUAUUUAUUUUGUAUUUUUUUCGCCGUUGUUCGUCUCUCUCAGGGUAAGUUUUUCCAAACAAUAGCGGGAAAAAAUUAGCACAGCUGCUUCAAAAAAAAAAAAAAAAGAAAAAAAAGGCAUACGACGAAGAAGAAGUAGAAAAAAAAUUGAGCUAAGUACGUGAAAAGCGCAAAUACAAAUAUAAAUAUUAUUGCAAAAAAAUUUGAACAAAAAGCCUGGGAGGCUGAGAAAACUAUUUAGUUUUUUUCCAACAUAAUGCCACAAUAUUUAUUUUCAACCCGAAAGUAAAUUGCAAUUAGCAGCAAUUUGCGAACUAUCUAAUUGAUAAGCCCCAUAUUUGUUUGAGCUGCGCCAGGUGAAAUUCGUAGUCUACAAACCGUAGUCCCACAAUCCAAUAACCGAUGAUCCGGAAUCCGUAAUCCAGACCAGACUUUGCAUAGCCUUCCGCGAGUGAUCAGUCAUCGCGGCAAUUAAUGUACGACAUUAGAGUGGACCAUUAACACGGCUCUGCUAAGUGCCCAUCUUUCGGCCGGUCAAAACCCCUUCAACCCUUGAUUAAUUAUCGCCAAUCAAUGAAAAGUCGCAUCUUGCGAAACAUCAUUUUUUCGUUUUUAUAAAUAUGUAUUGUUGGUUUUUAAUCUAGGAAUUCGAAUGGGAAUUGAUACCGAAAAUUGGGGCUGCGUCUGGGGGAGGCCGGUCUUUAAUAUUCGAUCUUCUGGCCGGAGAAUCGAAUCCGGUUUUUAUUUUCGGCUCUUCUGUUGUGGCUUUUAUACCCAGCAUUAUGACAAAUGACUGGCGAUCCAUCAAAAUGUGCCAAACACUUGGUUAUUUAUGAAUGUGGCGCAGCAAAUGUUGAACGUUCCCCGUAAUUUGGUUCAUUUUAUUGUCUGUCCCCACUCAGAGUUAUAUGGCUUUUGGGGCGGGGCUUUCAAGUAGAAUGCUGUAGCUUUACGUGGAAAGUAAUAUCUAAAUUCAGCCAUUUUAGCACAUUUAGCAAGACAGUUUACCAUUUAUUGCGCACUAAGUUAAUAUUUAAUUAUAUAUGUAUAUGCAAUUGUUAUUACUACAAUAAUUAUAUUUACUAUCUUUUCUUAAAAUAAAGUAAUCUAAGUAAUCUUUUAAAAAUAGUUAUGUCUUAAACAACAGUUUUUGUUCGUUUACAUGACUUAGUUUUAACUUUAUCAAGCCCCUACAUCAUUUAUUCAUUUAUAUUUGUUGUUAACCAUCGAAACCCUAAUUAAUUUAAUUAAUUAGCUGUUGACGGUUUCAAAAAAUUAAUUAACCUCUUCUUUGUUGAUUCUGUCAAUAUAACCACACCCAAGUGCAAAAUUCUUGUCUAACAAAAUAUACAAAAAAAAAAAGAAAACGCAACUGAAUAUUUAUUGUGAGGUUAACCAAAAACACCAUAAAACACAAUAAUUUAUAGGUGCUGUAAAAAAUGUAUAAAAAUAUGUAAGUUUGACAGCAUUUUCAACAGCCACGAUCUUAGGCCCCCAAAUAGUUAUAAUUCCGUUCAUCUAUAUAGUAUAGAUCUUGUUAACAUAUUUUUUCUGUUGUUCACAUAUUUAUGCUUCGCCGUUUGCAUGUGAAUUUUAAUUUAAUUUUCCUUGGGGUUUUGCAUAAAAGUAUGAAAACAAGUGUUUACAAAUCAAUAAUGCAAAAAUCCGUAUGGGAGGCGCAAUCAACAACCGUUGCGACCACGCCCUCCCCUUCCUCAUCAUCAUUAUGGUCACUUGCCCAGUAAAUAAAAGUUCAAUGUUUGAAUACAUUAAACUUAAAAACCCAGGCUGUGCCGAUAAUACGGGUUGGAGAUGGAGGUAGGCCAGACUUAUCGAGUGGUAGGGGGUGCUCAGAGGCGCUUGGGGGUGCCUGGGGGUGCUUGGAGGUGCCGACAGUACGAGCAACGCCAGCGAAAUGACCAUUUUCAAUAACACUCACGUAGCAUCCGAGUCGAUAAAUUACAAUAAAAACGGCAAAAGAUCCACAAUUGAAAUUUCGUUGGUUUUUCGCAGCACGUCCAAAAACAACAUUCAACAAUCAACAAUCCAGUGGCAACAACAGAACCGACAACAACGGGAGCAGCGAAAAGGAAGGUUACCACUUUUGGGUGAACCCACGAAGCCCAGAUGCACUCUAAAACAUUUCCAAAUAUUUUUACCAUUUUAUUAUAAUAAGAUAUCUUAGCUCUUCAAGCUUAAAAAAAUAUAUUGCAAGCGCCAAAAUAAUUAUUUACCCAUAUGUUUCUCGCAAAAUACACUUUUAUUGUUAUGAAAAACAAAUAUAAUUGUUGAAACAUAAA